GAUGAACGCUGGCGGCGUGCUUAACACAUGCAAGUCGAACGGACAGGCUCCUGCUUGCAGGGGUGCUCGAGUGGCGAACGGGUGAGUAACACGUGGGUGAUCUGCCCUGCACUUCGGGAUAAGCCUGGGAAACUGGGUCUAAUACCGGAUAGGACGAUGGUUUGGAUGCCAUUGUGGAAAGUUUUUCGGUGUGGGAUGAGCUCGCGGCCUAUCAGCUAGUUGGUGGGGUAAUGGCCUACCAAGGCGUCGACGGGUAGCCGGCCUGAGAGGGUGUACGGCCACAUUGGGACUGAGAUACGGCCCAGACUCCUACGGGAGGCAGCAGUGGGGAGUAUUGCACAAUGGGCGCAAGCCUGAUGCAGCGGCGCCGCGUGGGGGAUGACGGCCUUCGGGUUGUAAACUCCUUUCGCUAGGGACGAAGCGCAAGUGACGGUACCUGGAGAAGAAGCACCGGCUAACUACGUG
rnacentral:rRNA from 1 species